UGGGGAAUUUUGGACAAUGGGCGAAAGCCUGAUCCAGCAAUGCCGCGUGUGUGAAGAAGGCCUUCGGGUUGUAAAGCACUUUUGUCCGGAAAGAAAUCCUUGGCUCUAAUACAGUCGGGGGAUGACGGUACCGGAAGAAUAAGCACCGGCUAACUACGUGCCAGCAGCCGCGGUAAUACGUAGGGUGCAAGCGUUAAUCGGAAUUACUGGGCGUAAAGCGUGCGCAGGCGGUUUGCUAAGACCGAUGUGAAAUCCCCGGGCUCAACCUGGGAACUGCAUUGGUGACUGGCAGGCUAGAGUAUGGCAGAGGGGGGUAGAAUUCCACGUGUAGCAGUGAAAUGCGUAGAGAUGUGGAGGAAUACCGAUGGCGAAGGCAGCCCCCCUGGGCCAAUACUGACGCUCAUGCACGAAAGCGUGGGGAGCAAACAGGAUUAGAUACCCUGGUAGUCCACGCCCUAAAACGAUGUCAACUAGUUGUUGGGGGAUUCAUUUCCUUAGUAACGUAGCUAACGCGUGAAGUUGACCGCCUGGGGGAGUACGGUCGCAAGAUUAAAACUCAAAUGAAUUGACGGGGUCAUAGCUGUUU
rnacentral:rRNA from 1 species